AGGAUGAACGCUGGCGGCGUGCUUAACACAUGCAAGUCGAACGAUGAUCUCCAGCUUGCUGGGGGGAUUAGUGGCGAACGGGUGAGUAACACGUGAGUAACCUGCCCUUAACUCUGGGAUAAGCCUGGGAAACUGGGUCUAAUACCGGAUAUGACUCCUCAUCGCAUGGUGGGGGGGUGAAAGCUUUUUUGUGGUUUUGGAUGGACUCGCGGCCUAUCAGCUUGUUGGUGAGGUAAUGGCUCACCAAGGCGACGACGGGUAGCCGGCCUGAGAGGGUGACCGGCCACACGUGGGACUGGAGACACGGCCCAGACCUCCUACGGGGACGGCAGGCAGGUGGGGGAAUAUUGGACACAAGUCGGGGACAAAACGGCCUAGA
rnacentral:rRNA from 1 species